GGGGAUAUAGCUCAGUUGGUAGAGUGCUUUCCUGGCAUGCAGAAGGCCCUGGGUUCAAUCCCCAGCAUCACCA
rnacentral:tRNA from 1 species